rnacentral:rRNA from 1 species
CCUACGGGAGGCAGCAGUGGGGAAUAUUGGACAAUGGGGGAAACCCUGAUCCAGCGACGCCGCGUGAGUGAAGAAGUAUUUCGGUACGUAAAGCUCUAUCAGCAGGAAAGAAAAUGACGGUACCUGACUAAGAAGCCCCGGCUAACUACGUGCCAGCAGCCGCGGUAAUACGUAGGGGGCAAGCGUUAUCCGGAUUUACUGGGUGUAAAGGGAGCGUAGACGGCAGCGCAAGUCCGAAGUGAAAGCCCGGGGCCCAACCCCGGGACUGCUUUGGAAACUGUGAAGCUGGAGUGCGGGAGGGGCAG